GUCGCCUGUUUAUCAAAAACAUAGCCUGUAGUAAAGAUUAUAGGUAAGCCCUGCCCUAUGAACUUUAAAUGGCCGCAGUACUCUGACUGUGCUAAGGUAGCGUAAUCAGUUGGCUUUUAAAUGGAGUCGAGUAUGAAUGGGUCUACGGAAACAAACUGUCUCUUUUUGGUUAUAUUGAAGUUUCUUUAAGGGUGCAAAGUCCCUUGAUUAGAAAAAAGACGAGAAGACCCUUAGAGUUUUUAUUAAAGAUAAGAAUUUAUUUAAGUUUUUGCUGGGGCGGCAAAGAGACAAAGCAAUUAAACUCUCUUUUUAUUGUUUUUAGAAGACGAGAAUGUUAAGAAUCAUUAAACUACCUUAGGGAUAACAGCAUAAUUAAAUUUUAGUUUGUGACCUCGAUGUUGGACUAGGAAGGCUUUUGACCAGCAGUCAAAAAGUGUGGUUCUGUUCGAACUAAGUUUCCUACAUGAUCUGAGUUCAGACCGGA
rnacentral:rRNA from 1 species